GUUUCAGUGGCUUGCUAUGUUCAUAUCUAAAAGAAAAACUUAAAGUCAGCAGUCACUGUCUCACCAGCAGCCCCAAAUGGGCACACUCUCCAGGACAUCUCUGGACUCAUCUCCUCUUGACAUUUCCUCUCUCCCUGGACAGAGUUUACAAGGAUCCUCAACAGACUGGCCAGGCAAAGAACCCAGCUCCCCUACAAUUAAUCGGCCUAGAACACCUGCAGAGACCAGCCCAUGAAGAAAUGCUUUUAUAUUUAGUAUGAUAGGGCUCUAGACCCACCCCCCCCUUUCAUACUGUGACUAAAAAGGAUAAAUAAACCUGGGGGGGAGGGGUAUUUUUUGGA